UACAGGGGGCUCGAGCGUUAGUCGGAAUCACUGGGCUUAAAGGGUGCGUAGGCGGCCCGCCAAGUGCUUUGUGAAAUCCCCGAGCUCAACUCGGGAACAGCAGGGCAAACUGGCGGGCUUGAAGCAGGUAGGGGCUGGAAGAACAGUUGGUGGAGCGGUGAAAUGCGUAGAUAUCAACUGGAAUGCCGAUGGGGAAGCCGUCCAGCUGGGCCUGUCUUGACGCUGAGGCACGAAAGCGUGGGGAGCAAACAGG
rnacentral:rRNA from 1 species